UCAAGAUACUCUGGAGAUUGUUUGCCAUACAAAGAUGAUGACCAAGAUAUACUGAAGACAGUAACAGAACAAUACCAGGAUUUAAGAUUUGUUAUAGCCGAGAAAACAAAAUGUGGCUUGAUGCAGUCCUUUCAGGAUCUUGUGCAAUUUGUGUUAAAAGAGGAGCAAUUUAAAGCUGUUGCAUCCCUAGCAGAUAUCUGUGGAACUUUCCUUGCCUCCAGUUGUGACUGUGAACGUGGUUUCAGUCUAAUGAAUAUGAUCAAGACAAAAAGUCGCAAUCGUUUGGAAGUGCCACACUUGGAAAUGCUCAUGAGGAUCAAAUUCUUCCUGAAUUCUGGACAAAGGAUUGACCUAGACAAAGUCUAUUCCAAAUGGGUCACAUCAAAAGAUAGACGUUGCAAAGUUUGAACAGUUGAAGUUUGUUGCUUCACAUGUAUUGGUUUACUUAUCCAAGGUUAAAAGGAAGAAGACGUUGCUAGGAUUGGCAUAGUUCCACAUUUCAUGCUUUAUCUUGGUUGUUUGGUGUUGCCUACACUUUCCAAAGGAAAUUGACAGAUGAGAUGACUGAAGUUUAAUGACCUGAAAGAAAUAAUACAAGAUGGGUGCUUCAUGUGGAAAGGUAAGUAGAUUGAGAGGCUAUAGCUUCUUGAUGUUUGGCUGGCUGGUUUUGUCUGUACUAGUAGUGGAUUUCUAUCACAUAUGUACCUCUUGUCUUCCACUAGGUUUACUUAUCCAAGGUUAAAAGGAAGAAGACGUUGCUAGGAUUGGCUUAGUUCCACAUUUCAUGCUUUAUCUUGGUUGUUUGGUGUUGCCUACACUUUCCAAAGGAAAUUGACAGAUGACUGAAGUUUAAUGACCUGAAAGAAAUAAUACAAGAUGGGUGCUUCAUUUGGAAAGGUUUACUUAUCCAAGGUUAAAAGGAAGAAGACGUUGCUAGGAUUGGCAUAGUUCCACAUUUCAUGCUUUAUCUUGGUUGUUUGGUGUUGCCUACACUUUCCAAAGGAAAUUGACAGAUGACUGAAGUUUAAUGACCUGAAAGAAAUAAUACAAGAUGGGUGCUUCAUUUGGAAAGGUUUACUUAUCCAAGGUUAAAAGGAAGAAGACGUUGCUAGGAUUGGCAUAGUUCCACAUUUCAUGCUUUAUCUUGGUUGUUUGGUGUUGCCUACACUUUCCAAAGGAAAUUGACAGAUGACUGAAGUUUAAUGACC